rnacentral:rRNA from 1 species
AACGAACGCUGGCGGCAGGCUUAACACAUGCAAGUCGAACGCACCGCACGGGGAUUGGCAGACGGGUGAGUAACACGUGGGAACAUGCCCAAUGUUACGGAAUAUUAUCGGGAAACUGAGAGCAUUACCGCAUGUGCCCGCAAGGGGAAAGAUUUCUGGCAUUGGUAUUGGCCCGCGUCGGUUUGGCUAGUUGGUGGGGUAAAAGCCUACCAAGGCGACGAUCCGUGGGUGGUCUGAGAGGUGGACCAGCCACACUGGGACUGAGACACGGCCCAGACUCCAACGGGAGGCAGCAGGGGGGAAUCUGGGACAGGGGGCGCAAGCCGGCGCAGGCCAGGCGGGGGGAAUGAUAAAGGCCCUAGAGUGGUAAAAUCCUUUCGUUGGGAAGGAUAAGAACGGUACCGAAAGAAGAAGCACGGGCAAACUUCGU